rnacentral:rRNA from 1 species
GACGAGCCACCCAAACGUUAUUCGGAAUUACUGGGCUUAAAGGGUGCGUAGGCGGCUAUGUAAGUCAGGAGUGAAAGUUUGCGGCUCAACCGUAAAAUUGCUUUUGAUACUGCAUGGCUAGAAUUAGGAUGAGGUCAGCGGAAUGUGGCAUGUAGCGGUGAAAUGCAUAGGUAUGCCAUAGAACACCAAUUGCGAAGGCAGCUGGCUAGACCUGUAUUGACGCUGAGGCACGAAAGCGUGGGGAGCGAACAGG